CACAGAAGUGAGUUAUGGGCACUAAUUAUUUGAGAUGUUACAGUGUGUAAAGAUGCUGUUUGUAUAAAACAGUUUUGCCAUCGCCAAACUGUGUCAACAUAUAUAGGAUAAGGUGUUUGCCUUCUUCUUUUUGGUAGAUUGUCAUUUCCUGUCUUCUGCUUUUUGGUAUAUUGUUCGAGAUAAAAUGAGUAACCAAUAAUGUCGCAUUGUGUAAUCAUGAUUGAAUUUACAUUAAUAUAAAAAAGUUGCAUUAUAUUU
rnacentral:lncRNA from 1 species